rnacentral:rRNA from 1 species
GACGAACGCUGGCGGCGUGCUUAACACAUGCAAGUCGAACGGAAAGUCCCUGCCUUUUUGGGGUGCUCGAGUGGCGAACGGGUGAGUAACACGUGAGUAACCUGCCCUUGACUUUGGGAUAACUUCAGGCAACUGGGUCUAUUACCGGAUAGGAGUUCUCGCCUUUUGGUGGGGGUUGGAUAGUUUCGGCGGUUGGGGAUGUACUCGCGGCUUAUCAGCUUGUUGCUGGGGUAGUGGCUUACCAAGGCUUUGAACGGUAGCAGGCCUGAGAGGGUGACCGGCCACACUGGGACUGAAAUACGGCCCAGACUCGUAUGGGAGGCAGCAGUGGGGUAUAUUGCACAAUAGGAGGAAGCCUGAUGCAGCCAAGCCGCGUGCGGGGUGACAGGCAUGGGGUUGUAAACCACUUUCGCCUGUGACGAAGCGUGAAUGACAGUAAUGGGUGAAGAAGCACCGGCUAACUACGUG